rnacentral:rRNA from 1 species
AGUAAAAGUCGUAACAAGGUCUCCGUAGGUGAACCUGCGGAGGGAUCAUUACACAAAAAAUAUGAAGGCUGUAUGCGCUGGCGCCCUCCGGGCACCAGUGGCGGAGGCUGAAUUAUUUUUCCACCCAUGUCUUUUGCGUACUUGUUGUUUCCUGGGCGGGUUCGCCCGCCGCCAGGACCACACCACAAACCUUUUUUUUUAAAUUGUAAUCAGCGUCAGUAUAACAAAUGUUAAAUCAUUUACAACUUUCAACAACGGAUCUCUUGGUUCUGGCAUCGAUGAAGAACGCAGCGAAAUGCGAUACGUAGUGUGAAUUGCAGAAUUCAGUGAAUCAUCGAAUCUUUGAACGCACAUUGCGCCCUUUGGUAUUCCAAAGGGCAUGCCUGUUCGAGCGUCAUUUGUACCCUCAAGCUUUGCUUGGUGUUGGGCGUUUUUUGUCUUGCCUUGCGGCGGAGACUCGCCUUAAAACGAUUGGCAGCCGGCCUACUGGUUUCGGAGCGCAGCACAGCUUUUGCACUUGCCAACCAGCUAAAGAGGUCAGCAAUCCAUCAAGCCCAUUUCUCACUUUUGACCUCGGAUCAGGUAGGGAUACCCGCUGAACUUAAGCAUAUCAAUAAGCGGAGGAAAAGAAACCAACAGGGAUUGCCCCAGUAACG